rnacentral:tRNA from 1 species
UGAGUUGUGGCUCAGUGACAGAACGCCUACUUUGCAUGCAGCCGGUCCCAAGUUCAAUUCCUGGCAUCUCUA